rnacentral:rRNA from 1 species
GACGAACGCUGGCGGCGUGCUUAACACAUGCAAGUCGAGCGGUAAGGCCCUUCGGGGUACACGAGCGGCGAACGGGUGAGUAACACGUGGGUGAUCUGCCUCGCACUUCGGGAUAAGCCUGGGAAACUGGGUCUAAUACCGGAUAUGACUCCUGGUCGCAUGGCUGGGGGUGGAAAGAUUUAUCGGUGUGAGAUGGGCCCGCGGCCUAUCAGCUUGUUGGUGGGGUAAUGGCCUACCAAGGCGACGACGGGUAGCCGGCCUGAGAGGGCGACCGGCCACACUGGGACUGAGACACGGCCCAGACUCCUACGGGAGGCAGCAGUGGGGAAUAUUGCACAAUGGGCGAAAGCCUGAUGCAGCGACGCCGCGUGAGGGAUGACGGCCUUCGGGUUGUAAACCUCUUUCGACUCCGACGAAGCGGAAGUGACGGUAGGAGUAGAAGAAGCACCGGCCAACUACGUG